rnacentral:rRNA from 1 species
UACGUAGGGUGCAAGCGUUGUCCGGAAUUAUUGGGCGUAAAGAGCUUAUAGGCGGUUUGUCGCGUCUGCUGUGAAAUUUCGGGGCUCAACCCCGAACUUGCAGUGGGUACGGGCAGACUAGAGUGUGGUAGGGGAGACUGGAAUUCCUGGUGUAGCGGUGAAAUGCGCAGAUAUCAGGAGGAACACCGAUGGCGAAGGCAGGUCUCUGGGCCACUACUGACGCUGAGAAGCGAAAGCAUGGGGAGCGAACAGG